AUUGAACGCUGGCGGCAUGCCUUACACAUGCAAGUCGAACGGCAGCGGACCUUCGGGUGCCGGCGAGUGGCGAACGGGUGAGUAAUAUAUCGGGAACGUACCUUUCAGUGGGGGAGUAACGUAGCGAAAGUUACGCUAAUACCGCAUAUUCUGUGAGCAGGAAAGCAGGGGAUCGCAAGACCUUGCGCUGAUUGAGCGGCCGAUAUCAGAUUAGCUAGUUGGUGAGGUAAAGGCUCACCAAGGCGACGAUCUGUAGCGGGUCUGAGAGGAUGAUCCGCCACACUGGAACUGAGACACGGUCCAGACUCCUACGGGAGGGCAGCAGUGGGGAAUUUUGGACAAUGGGCGCAAGCCUGAUCCAGCCACGCCGCGUGAGUGAAGAAGGCCU
rnacentral:rRNA from 1 species